UGGGGAAUUUUGGACAAUGGGCGAAAGCCUGAUCCAGCAAUGCCGCGUGUGUGAAGAAGGCCUUCGGGUUGUAAAGCACUUUUGUCCGGAAAGAAAUCCUUGGCUCUAAUACAGUCGGGGGAUGACGGUACCGGAAGAAUAAGCACCGGCUAACUACGUGCCAGCAGCCGCGGUAAUACGUAGGGUGCAAGCGUUAAUCGGAAUUACUGGGCGUAAAGCGUGCGCAGGCGGUUUGCUAAGACCGAUGUGAAAUCCCCGGGCUCAACCUGGGAACUGCAUUGGUGACUGGCAGGCUAGAGUAUGGCAGAGGGGGGUAGAAUUCCACGUGUAGCAGUGAAAUGCGUAGAGAUGUGGAGGAAUACCGAUGGCGAAGGCAGCCCCCUGGGCCAAUACUGACGCUCAUGCACGAAAGCGUGGGGGAGCAAACAGGAUUAGAUACCCUGGUAGUCCACGCCCCUAAACGAUGUCAACUAGUUGUUGGGGACUUCAUUUUCCUUAGUAACGUAGCUAACGCGUGAAGUUGACCGCCUGGGGAGUACGGUCGCAAGAUUAAAACUCAAAUGAAUUGACGGA
rnacentral:rRNA from 1 species